UUCAAUCCUAACCAAAUAAAAAGGGAUUUCUUCCAUCAAAGUAGAAUCCAGACUAUAACCACUCCAUACAUCUCCUAACAGUCUAAAUUAUCGCAAUCAAGUUCAUCAAAACACGCCACAGACAAUCAAUCACAGGUUCAUCAUUUGCACAGUCCAGUUCAUACUCAACAUACAUGUAAAACAGUAAGAAAUGCAGUUCAAACAGUACAUCAGCUUCAAAUUCAACAAGCAUGUAUUUUAUAAAAUAAGUUCACACAAAAUAAUUAGCUCCCCUUACCUGGUUUUCUUUAAAAGUAGCAAAUUGAAAACGCCCUAACAGGAACCCACUCAACGUUAACCUACAAAUCACCGAAUUGGUGAUAGCACACAACUCUUAAAGCUCGAUAGGCAGAGAAUGGAAGGAAAACACAUUAGGAACAUGAACCCAACAAAGUUGCAUGCCCUAGGUUCUAGAACAGUGAAAGAGAAGGGGAAAUAGGACUUACUAGUUGGAAUAAGAAAUUGUUUGGUUCAAGUUAAAGCCCUUGCGACCGCGAUCGUUUAGGCACCUUCGAAUUAAAUUUUAAACGGUUCAGUGUCUGGAUCUUUUAGAGAGAAGGCAGAGCACCUUCUUAGGAAGAAAAGAGCUCUGUCUAGAGAGAGAAAGGAAAAAU
rnacentral:lncRNA from 1 species